AGCUGCUUUUGUCUGUAAGUAUUUUUUUCUUUUUAUUAUACUUCUAACUUAUUUAAUUACAUGUAUAUAAUCCUUACACACUUAGUAUUUGUAUGUAUAUAUGCAGGCACCAAAUGAGAGAGCUCAGAAUCAGAAAUGACAAUAAUAUUGGGUUCGUUGACCCUUAUAUUGUUUUCAAAGCUCUGCAGGCAGUGUGGACAGCAGC
rnacentral:lncRNA from 1 species